CUCCCCUCGUGAGAAAGCAAGGAGACACGGACAGAGCGCACCCUCCCCCCUAUCACUGCCCAAGGGUUCGACUCUAAUUCGCACAAGAUGUUUGAUGUUCAACAGCCUCUUGUUCUCAUUCGCGGUUGUAAUCAGAUACAAUGGGGCAACUGUGAGAGCAAACAACCCUGAGGCAAUACAGCCAAACAGGAGUCCAUUUUCAGCCCUAAACGAUGAUGUCAUCACGCCAAUGUGACCGGCUUGGGUUUCACCGUCGGAUCAAUUAUUCACAGCGUUUAAUUGGAUCAACUGGAUCCGGAUCACACCAGGGAUUCAUUUCCAAUGAAUGGUAACCGCUCCACACAGUGAGAGAAAAGAAGAUGGUGGGGGUGACGAUCUCAGUGUGUAGGGUGAAGGCCAGUCUGUGAUGAUGCUGCAUUCAUUAAUCACACAGUGGAGUACAGUGUCGUUCACAGCCUCUUAGUCAUCACAUAUUCCCACUCCACUCUUGCCUUCAACUCAUCAGGGGCCUCCCAGGCAUAGGUGGCCUUUGUGCACAACUAACCGGAACAGUACUCCCCUUAUUAGUGCUGGUUUUCAGUCCAGACUAUAGUACAGAGAGGCUUCCAUUCAUGGGGUGGAGUUGGAAACACAAGGCCUAUAUCUCUGAGGACGUGUAGAAAGAGCAGUUCAUUCAUCUUUUAAGCAUGGGAGUCUCAUAAGAGAGGGUCUUGUUUUUCGCCCCCAAGUAAACACAGUCAUCUCGGAUUUCUCAUGUUUGUAUUUUACCUUGAACGUCCGUCGUCUUUUGUCCCCAUUCUUGCUUACACAGCCUUCGUUGCAUGUGAUUGAUGGAAAUAUUCAUCUGUUAGAUAGUCCCGUGCACACUUGGGUAAACGAUAUUGUUAAAGCGCAUGACUUGCUGAAAAGAUUUAUAGGAGCUCAAGUAGCCAAAACGGAGUAGCCUUAGGGCGUGAAUACUCCUCAUUCAUUCCCUCCGUGAACUCAGUACUGAGUAUCUUUUGGCAGGUUGUCAGACCUGCUUGUGUGCAUAAAAUAGCAACAAAAGUGACCUGAGCUUUGACCCCCAAGCAUGCUGGAGCUUUGGAAAACAUGACUGUGCUUGAUUGUGAGACUUGUCGUCUAAUCACACCACGCUGAACUCAAUGACCUUAUGUCUU